rnacentral:rRNA from 1 species
GACGAACGCUGGCGGCGUGCCUAAUACAUGCAAGUCGAGCGAACGAAGGGGAGCUUGCUCCCUAUUCGUUAGCGGCGGACGGGUGAGUAACACGUGGGUAACCUACCUGUAAGACUGGGAUAACUCGCGGAAACGUGAGCUAAUACCGGAUAACAUCUUCCUCCGCAUGGAGGAAGAUUGAAAGACGGCUCUGCUGUCACUUACAGAUGGGCCCGCGGCGCAUUAGCUAGUUGGUGAGGUAACGGCUCACCAAGGCGACGAUGCGUAGCCGACCUGAGAGGGUGAUCGGCCACACUGGGACUGAGACACGGCCCAGACUCCUACGGGAGGCAGCAGUAGGGAAUCUUCCGCAAUGGACGAAAGUCUGACGGAGCAACGCCGCGUGAGCGAAGAAGGUCUUCGGAUCGUAAAGCUCUGUUGUUAGGGAAGAAUAAGUACGAGAGUAACUGCUCGUACCUUGACGGUACCUAACCAGAAAGCCACGGCUAACUAC